rnacentral:tRNA from 1 species
GGUCUUGUAUUCAUUUUGUGAUUACAGAAUGCAAUUCUGUAGGGGUAGCUUUAGCUAUCAAGGCCU